CGGACGGGGGAGUAAUGUCUGGGAAACUGCCUGAUGGAGGGGGGUAACUACUGGAAACGGUAGCUAAUACCGCAUAACGUCGCAAGACCAAAGAGGGGGACCUCGGGCCUCUUGCCAUCGGAUGUGCCCAGAUGGGAUUAGCUAGUAGGUGGGGUAACGGCUCACCUAGGCGACGAUCCCUAGCUGGUCUGAGAGGAUGACCAGCCACACUGGAACUGAGACACGGUCCAG
rnacentral:rRNA from 1 species